rnacentral:rRNA from 1 species
UACGUAGGGCGCAAGCGUUGUCCGGAAUUAUUGGGCGUAAAGAGCUCGUAGGCGGCUUGUCACGUCGGGUGUGAAAGCCCGGGGCUUAACCCCGGGUCUGCAUUCGAUACGGGCUGGCUAGAGUGUGGUAGGGGAGAUCGGAAUUCCUGGUGUAGCGGUGAAAUGCGCAGAUAUCAGGAGGAACACCGGUGGCGAAGGCGGGUCUCUGGGCAGUAACUGACGCUGAGGAGCGAAAGCGUGGGGAGCGAACAGG